rnacentral:misc_RNA from 1 species
AGCAGCCGCGGUAAUUCCAGCUCCAAUAGCGUAUAUUAAAGUUGUUGCAGUUAAAAGCUCGUAGUUGAAUUUCGGGGUUAGUAGGUUGGUCAUGCCUCUGGUAUGUACUGGUCUCACUGAUUCCUCCUUCCUGAUGAACCUUAAUGCCAUUUAUUUGGUGUUUUGGGGAAUUUGGACUGUUACUUUGAAAAAUUAGAGUGUUUAAAGCAAGCUAACGCUUGAAUACAUUAGCAUGGAAUAAUGAAAUAGGACGUUCGAUCCUAUUUUGUUGGUUUCUAGGAUUGACGUAAUGAUUAAUAGGGAUAGUUGGGGGCAUUAGUAUUCAAUUGUCAGAGGUGAAAUUCUUGGAUUUAUUGAAGACUAACUACUGCGAAAGCAUUUGCCAAGGAUGUUUUCAUUAAUCAAGAACGAAAGUUAGGGAUCGAAGACGAUCAGAUACCGUCGUAGUCUUAACCAUAAACUAUGCCGACUAGGGAUCGGAUGAUGUUAAUUUUUAAUGACUCAUUCGGCGCCUUACGGG